CAGCAGCCACGGUAAUACAGAGGGUGCGAGCGUUAAUCGGAUUUACUGGGCGUAAAGCGUGCGUAGGCGGCUUCUUAAGUCGGAUGUGAAAUCCCUGAGCUUAACUUAGGAAUUGCAUUCGAUACUGGGAAGCUAGAGUAUGGGAGAGGAUGGUAGAAUUCCAGGUGUAGCGGUGAAAUGCGUAGAGAUCUGGAGGAAUACCGAUGGCGAAGGCAGUCAUCUGGCCUAAUACUGACGCUGAGGUACGAAAGCAUGGGGAGCAAACAGGAUUAGAUACCCCGGUAGUCCCUGUCUCUUAUAC
rnacentral:rRNA from 1 species